ACUGUGGAGUAUACGAGAACUUGUGAGUAGUAUAUUUAAUAAUAAAUUACGAAAGCAUAUACGUUGAAGCAGUAA
rnacentral:sRNA from 12 species